GGGCGUUUAGCUCAGUUGGCCAGAGCACCUCCCUUACAAGGAGGGGGUCGGGGGUUCGAGCCCCUCAACGCCCACCA
rnacentral:tRNA from 1 species